rnacentral:rRNA from 1 species
GACGAACGCUGGCGGCGUGCUUAACACAUGCAAGUCGAACGGAAAGGCCCUGCUUUUGUGGGGUGCUCGAGUGGCGAACGGGUGAGUAACACGUGAGUAACCUGCCCUUGACUUUGGGAUAACUUCAGGAAACUGGGGCUAAUACCGGAUAGGAGCUCCUGCUGCAUGGUGGGGGUUGGAAAGUUUCGGCGGUUGGGGAUGGACUCGCGGCUUAUCAGCUUGUUGGUGGGGUAGUGGCUUACCAAGGCUUUGACGGGUAGCCGGCCUGAGAGGGUGACCGGGGACAAUAGGACUACGGGACGGCGCAGAAUGCUACGGGAGGCAGCAGGGGGGAGUAUGACGCAGUGGGGGGGAGUCUGAGGCGGAGACGCCGGGUGCGGGAUGACGGGCUUCGGGUUGUAAACAUAUUUCUACUGUGACGAAGCGUGAGUGACGGUAAUGGGUAAAGAAGCACCGGCUAACUACGUG